rnacentral:rRNA from 1 species
AUUGAACGCUGGCGGCAGGCCUAACACAUGCAAGUCGAACGAGUGGCGGACGGGUGAGUAAUGUAUGGGAAACUGCCUGAUGGAGGGGGAUCACAACUGGGCACGGUAGCUAAUACCGCAUACCCUCAGAUGUGCCGAGAUGGGAUUAGCUUGGUGGUGGGGUAACGGCUCACCAAGGCGACGAUCCCUAGCGGGUCUGAGAGGAUGACCAGCCACACUGGAACUGAGCCACGGUCCAGACUCCUACGGGAGGCAGCAGUGGGGAAUAUUGCACAAGGGGCGAAAGCCUGAUCCAGCCAUGCCGCGUGUAUUAAGAAGGCCUUCGGGUUGUAAAGUACUUUAAGCUGGGAGGCGUUACCAGCAGAAGAAGCACCGGCUAACUCCGUGCCAGCAGCCGCGGUAAUAC